GACGAACGCUGGCGGCGUGCUUAACACAUGCAAGUCGAGCGGGAAACUUCGGUUUCCAGCGGCGGACGGGUGAGUAACACGUGGGCAACCUGCCUCACAAUGAGGGAUAGCCUUCCGAAAGGAAGAUUAAUACCUCAUAACACAAGAGAAACGCAUGUUUCUCUUGCCAAAGAAUUUCGUUGUGAGAUGGGCCCGCGGCGCAUUAGCUUGUUGGUGAGGUAACGGCUCACCAAGGCUUCGAUGCGUAGCCGACCUGAGAGGGUGAUCGGCCACAUUGGAACUGGGACACGGUCCAGACUCCUACGGGAGGCAGCAGUGGUGAAUAUUGCACAAUGGAGGAAACUCUAAUGCAGCAACGCCGCGUGAGUGAUGAAGGUCUUCGGAUUGUAAAGCUCUGUCUUCUGGGACGAUAAUGACGGUACCAGAGGAGGAAGCCACGGCUAACUACGUGCCAGCCGCCGCCGUAACAC
rnacentral:rRNA from 1 species